AACGGCAGCUUUGUUUAAUCUUUUCACUGGAUUGUGUUACCUCUGGCAAAUCGGAGAUUGAAUGUGUUUUGAUGGCUGCCUUAAUUUCUUGUCCACAAACGGGGGCAGACUGGCUUGUACAGGCAUUUGCUGUCACGGCCGGGGCGCAUUGGAAUGCGCCCUCAACCUUGCGCGCUGCAAGCACCGCAGGACACGCCCCCACACACGCCGCGCAGACCGCGGCCACGCACUUCCACAGCUGGCGGCAAUCCUCUAUCAGCACACCUGCCGUUAAUGAAGUAGCUGCCUUCAUAAGCGUGGACAACCUGGCAUGCCGCCGCCGGAAUAUAGUCUACUGUACAACCUCCGUUCCCGUGUUUUGACGUUGCUGUGUGUCUCGUCAUUCCUCGUCGUCCCCCUGCUUCUCGGACUGCCCCCUUGGAUCUCGACCUCCCGCUUGGACACGGAUUCCCCUCUUCCCCUGGACUUCCUCAUCUCUCGUUCAACACUUGGUAACACACACUUCAGCUAACUACACACUUAGCCUAACACCACAUACACUUUUGGAUCUAGU